UACGUAGGGUGCAAGCGUUGUCCGGAAUUAUUGGGCGUAAAGAGCUCGUAGGCGGUCUGUCGCGUCUGCUGUGAAAACUCGGGGCUUAACCCCGGGCCUGCAGUGGGUACGGGCAGACUAGAGUGCGGUAGGGGAGACUGGAAUUCCUGGUGUAGCGGUGAAAUGCGCAGAUAUCGAGAGGAACACCUGAGGUGAAGACGGGUUGCUGGGCCGACACUGACGCUGACAGCGCGAAAGCCAGGGGAGCAAACGGG
rnacentral:rRNA from 1 species